CAAUCAUAUAGUCUAAUUUGUAGGAUGUAAGUUUUGGGGAUUUGAGGUCUCGCUUAUUGUGGGUUGAUUGA
rnacentral:tRNA from 1 species